CACUCUGGUGGCUUAGUGGUUAGAGUGUCUGUCUUGGAUGCAGGAGGUCAUGAGUUUGAACCCCAGCAGAGUCA